rnacentral:lncRNA from 1 species
CUUUUCGGGGUCGAGUCCGAGGGGGAAGAGGUUUGUUAAUACGUUCGCCAUGUGCUACGAUCUUGGGACGAACUGAGCCACGAGCGUGGCUUUGAGGGCCGUCCGAACGCUGCAGGCCGGCCAGGUCCCUGGGCGUCCAGGCCUGGCCUACGCACCACUUUGUCCCUUAGCGUUUAAAGGUUUCUUCCCGAAUCUCAGGCCCUCAGCUACCUGCAGGUAAGACUGGGCCGGGCUUGGGUUCCCUUAUUCUCCCAGUCUGUGAUGAAUUGCUUUGACUUCUGACACCUCGUAUGAAAACUGCACGUGCAGUCUGAUUAUUUAGCAAGACUGAGGCUUGAGGGUGCGCACUCCUGACGGGGAGCUGAGAGUGGAAACAGGUGUUGCCCGAAACGAAGGAGUGGGGACUUAAUGUCUGUAUUUUGGCGCUGACUUUCAGGUUUCGUCGCGAGCCGGCUGCAAGUUUUGAACCUAAGUAAACCUCAAUCCGGAGGGCCUAGCGGUAAGGUGGGCGCUGUGUCUAUUGAAGUGCUUAGCAAUAAAGAAAGGUAGUGAGUUGAUUCGGUUUUCUCUCAAGUGUCUUUAUUUUCCUAUUCUGGCACCCCAGAGGUCUGGCUGAUCCACAGGCAAUCUUGGAAAAGGGUACAGACAUGAAAACGGAAGCUCGUUACCAGUGACUUUUCAUCUCUUGGGAUUGCCUUCUCCAUUUCUGCCCGUGAUUUUUUUUUUUUUUUUUUGAGACGGAGUUUUGCUCGUUUCCCAGGCGGGAGUGCGAUGGCACAACCUCCACCUCAAGCGAUUUUCCUGCCUGAGCCUCCCAAAUGGCUGGAAUUACAGGCGCCCACCACCACGCCCGGCUAAUUUUGUAUUUUUAGUAGAGACGGGGUUUCUCCGUGUUAGGCUGGUCUCAAACUCCUGACCUCAGGUGAUCUGCCCACCUCAGCCUCCCAAAGUGCUGGGAUCACAGGUGUGAGCCACCACGCCCAGUCAAAUACUGUUUUUCAUGCCUUUUGCCCCAGGGUGAGUCCAAAAAGGCUUUUGAGAUUUGUGGAGGGAAGUUGACACCACCUAGGGUUCCCAUGUGCCUCCUUAGGGAGGCAGCCAUGGGCCAUGGAGGAAUGGUAGCCACACACCUGCUGAGGGUUCUGGGCCUUGCUGAGUCUCUCAAACUCCAGCAUCCUGCUCUAGAAGUGGAUUUUUUUCAACAGAUGAGACAGACGCUCCAGAAAACACAACUUUAUUCACUAGGACUGAAAACAAAGGCUUGUGCAAUCAAAAGGCCAAGUUGAGUGCAAGGUGGAGCGUGCUCGGAAAUCACAGACCUCACCUGUGGCCAGGCCGGGCUGGCAGUUGUUGUUUCUGGUGUUUUCUGUGAUUUCCCACAUUUUAUCACAAGGCCACAGGCAUCCUCCAAGGUCAGUGAGGAAGACCCUAUUGCUGUUUGAGCCAGAGCCUCCUAGAGGGUGGGCCGGGAGCAGGCAGCUCCCAGGACACACAGAUGCACGAUGUGAUUAGCAGUGAAGCCUUCUGUCCCAGGCGUGGGCAGGCGUCCUCCCUUAGCUGCCUGAGCAUGUGCGGCUGAAGACAUGGCUUUUCUAGGGUUAGGCACUGUGCGUGGUGCCAGCCCCAGCCCUCCCUCACCUGGACGUGCCCAGGAGGGGGCAGCAGAGCACCGUGGCAAAGUCUGUCCACUUGCCGCUCCCCGUCCCGUGCAGAAGACUGCUUUUCCGUGGCGGCCAGUGUGCGGCCACGGGCUCUCAGAAGCCUGCUUGUUGGGACUGUUGCUGGGAGGAGGAAGGGACAAGGCUUGACCUGGGGCUCCUGAAAACAGACACUCGGGCGUUGGCCACUGGGCAACAAAGUCAGAAGGGCCUGGAGACCCUCUGUCCAGCCUUCUAGGGACUGGACGGCUUCCUCCAGAGGACUGAGCUCAGCCAGGUUCAAGGGCGGCAGCAGGAGGCCCCUCGACCCUCCCUCUUAACGUAAUCAUGCAGCCGGAAGCGCGGCUCGCUGGGAGCCUUCAUGGAGCGCUGCUUCAACUCCCUGCGGAGUGGGGGUGACAAGGGGACACGAUGGCCUGGACUCUAAUGAGGAUUCAGGCCCUGGGCUGGGGGAGUCCUGGUGACUGGCAGGACUUACUUUGCUAUGGCUGUGAAGGCCAAGUCCACGUUGAGGCCCGUCUUGGCGCUGGUCUCCAUGAAGGGCAGUCCAUACUCCUGUAAACAGCUGCUGCCAGCCAGGUGGUGGCCUGGCGGGGACAGCCUAGGCUCGCAGCCUCCAGGGGCACCCCCUCACCACCCCCCUGCCCUGACUCACCUUGGCCAGCUUCUCCCCGUCCUCCCUCUUCACCACACGCUCAUGGGCAGAGUCCACCUGGCCCAGGCACAGGGUCUUGGUGAAAGCUGGCCCAUGGUUGGCCCCUGCCCCCUCACCUGCCCUGCCCUGUGGCCCAGGUGAGGACAGCCGGGCCUCCCACCUUGUUCCCCAGCAGCAUGAGCGCCACGUCGUGCUGGGCGUACUCGUGGAUCUCGGUCAGCCAGGCCUGUGGGAGGCAGCAGACCAGGCUGGGGCUCCCUGCAUGGCUUGCCCCAUGCCCCAGAACUUUGGCCCUCCAGGUCACACUGUAGAGGGCACCUGUCUUUAUCUUUUUUUUUUUUUUUUUUUUUUUGAGACAAGAGUCUCGCCCUGUUUCCCAGGCUGGAGUGCAAUGGCUCCAUCUCGACUCACUGCAGUCUCCAUCUCCUGGGUUCAAGCUAUUCUCCUGGGGUUCAGAGAACCUUGGGAGGGUUCAGCCUCCCAAGUGACUGGGAUUACAGUUACGCACCACCACGCCCAGCUAAUUUUUUGUAUCUUUAGUAGAGACGGGGUUUCACCAUGUUGAUCAGGCUGGUCUCCAACUCCUGACCUCGUGAUCCGCCCACCUCAGCCUCCCAAGGUGGUGGGAUUACAGGUGUGAGCCACCAUGCCCAGCCCAUUUUAUUUUUUUGAGACAGUUUUGCUCUGUUGUCCAGGCUGGAGUGCCGUAGCACAGUCUUGGCUCACUGCAACCUCAGUCUCCUGAGUAGCUGGGAUUACAGGUGUGUGCCAAAACGCCCGGCUAAUUUUUGUAUUUUUAGUAGAGAUGGGGUUUCCUCAUGUUGGCCAGGCUGGUCUCGAACUCCUGACCUCAGGUGAGCCGCCAUGCCUGGCCAGGAUACCUGUCUUUAGAAGUGAUAACCCCCCGUGUACCACAUACAGAAGCCCACCUUACAGGUCCCUUACACAAAGCCUCCUGCUGAGGGAGCUGGAAUGGCACUCAGGUCCACUUGGGCCACCUCCAGCCCAGAAGGCUGUCAUUUCCCCCUCCCCUCUCUCAGCGGGGUCCUUUGGAACCCUGAUGCCAUCUACCAGAAGGAGGUUGGGAUGGGUCAGGCCCUAUCAGGGCCCUUUCACCCCACCAGGAAAGCCACUGACCUGGAUGUUGUCAAAGGAGGCCUUGUUGGUGACAUCGUAGAGCAGCAGCAGAGCUGGGGACAGAGGGCAGUGAGGACAUCCACCAUCACCUGCACCCUCAGGUGCUCAGACCCCCGCCCCAACCAGCCCAGGUACCCAGGGGCUCACCAUGAGCAUCCCGGUAGUAGGCAUGGGUAACACUGCGGAACCGCUCCUGACCAGCUGUGUCCCACAUCUGCAGCGACAGGCACUGGUCAGGCUGUCCAGCCCUUCCCUGGUGUCCCCUGUCCCCCAACUUGUCCUCUGCCAGUCACCUUACCUGCAGCUUCACCUUCACACCAUCCACGUCCAGAACUUUGUUCUGAAACAGACAGAACCAGGCAGCUCUGGCAUGGGCCCAGCCCAGCCUCUGGUCCCACUAGCUUCACUGCCUUCCUGUCCCCUGAGACCUCCCAGCUCCCAGGUCCAGCCCAGCCCCUGCAGGCUUCCCUUAAGCCAAUUUGACCUCACCCACACCUGCAAGUGCAGGCCUCUCCCGGCAGCCUCUGCACUAUUCCUGCUUAGAGCCUCUUACGCUGACUUAUUUGAACUCAUGACCCCACCAGGCCUCUUACUGACACUGCCUCGGUUUCCUCAUCUGCAAAUGGGUGCAGUAACUAACGAGCUGCAACGCCUCAGCCUUCCCAGUAGCUCUUUUUGCUAAUUUGAAAGACUCAGGAUGGCUUGAACCCAGAAGUUGGAGGUUGCAGUCCACCAUGAUCACCACUGCACUCCAGCCAGGGCGACAGAGUGAGACCCUGCUUCAAAAGAAUAAAAAAUUAAAGCCACUCCUUGCUGGGAUUGUCAGGGCUGGGCCUGGGCCUGUCUGACCCAAGGCAGUAACCGCAGAUCCCAGAACUGCCUGGCAGCGUCCCCAGCCGGGCCCUCCCAGUUAACGAUUAGACGUAAGGCAGGGAGUGGUCUAGCCCCAGUCCCAUCUGUUGGGGUGGGGGCGGGGGGCUUCAGCCGCAGUCUGAGGCCCUGGGCAGCUGGAACCUGUGCCACCUCCUUCAGCCUGAGCUCCUGCUGUCAGAGUGCUUCUGGGUCUCCCGGGAACCAGGCAGGGCCAUCUGCUGGGCUGGGGAGGACACCGCCUUCCCUGGCACCCUGAACGAGAGUGCGAACCAAAUGGCCUCACCUCUUACCACCUGCCCGAGAGCCAAGAGGGAGGUGGGGAAGUGGGGACCAGACAGGACUGGCCUGCCCCCCUCGGGCACUUCAGUCGUCACUCCAUCCCAGAGGACUUGAGGGGACUUGGAACCCCCAGACUGGAGGGAGCCCCUUUUCCUGUCCCUGGAACAGCCCUUCCUCCAUCCUCCCUCUAACUGGCUCUAAUUAAAGGGUGAGAAAAAUGCAAAUUUAAGAUUUGCUGAGGACAAGCCGGCACCUCAGCACGAGGAAUUCCAGCUGGUGGGGGUGGGGGUGGGCGCUCCUCACCCAAGAGCAGGGUCCUCUCCCCUAGGCAAGCCCUGGAAACCCUCGCUCAGGCUCUGCAGGGAGCAUGUGCUUCUAGGGCCCAGUAAGGCCUCUGUACCGAGGCAGCACUGCUGGCCCCAAGUGGACGUGGCCCUUGACUUCCUCUGACCCACCACCCUGUAGGCAACAGUGUCCGCCUCCCCCAAGGCACAGGAUAUGGUCCCUCGGUAAUGCCAGCCCCUGGCAUAGGGCAACUAACUAUGCUUGUCGGGUGCAGCCACCAGCCCAGGUGUUGGAAGGUCGAGGCAGGCAGCUUCUGGGGUCCAGGCCUCGAGCCUGUUGGUACCAUGGGGAUCAGAGAGAACUUGCUGCUCGGGUACCGGCGGGACUCUGAUGUGGGGCCAGGCCAGGGCCUCCACUCACCCGGAAGUCAAUGCCUACGGUGGAGAUGAAGGUCCCCGCCAGGAAAGCACCAUCCUUGAAUCGCACCAGCAGACAGGUCUUCCCCACACCCGAGUCCCCCACCAGCAUGACCUAGGACAAGCAGGAGGGUUGGGGGGAGUCUGGUCUGCCCUGAGCUGGCCUGGUCAGAAGGGGGCUGCAGGUGAGGAGCAGGAGUGGAGGGAGGCAGCCCAGGCCUGCAGGCUCAGCGGGGCCAGGGACCCCGAUGGGCUGGACACCCAGCGUAUGCCUCUGAAAGGCUGGGGCUGCUCUGUCCUUCUGCACAGUGGCCGUCUCAGUCAGCGGGGAGUGAGGGCAGCCACCUGCAUCCCGGACCCUCCCUAACGUCCAUACCCCCACACGGUGGACAGCAUCUGGGAGGGGAGCAGGUGGGGUGGCAGCUGGGUACCUCCUAAGAGACUUGGGGAGGCCUCUGCCGGGGGCUUCUCCACAUCCCAGUAGGGACAUGACCCCAGCAAGGCUCGAGGAAUUUGCCCCAUUAGGAUCAGAUCUCGAUCUGAAGAGGGACCUGGGCCAAGUCUGAGGUUGGGGGGAGGUGCAAGUGGGCAGCAGUCAGGCCUUCUCCCCGAAACCUGUGCUACCAAACCCAAAAUGGUCCUCCCAGCCCCCUGCCAAGUCCACACAGCCUCUGCCUUGGUCUGGAGUCCCAGGGUUCCCCAUCCAUCUGGCAAACCUCUUCCCCCCAGC